GCCUCAGUGGUUUAGUAGUAUGAUUCGCCCUUCGGGAGUUAAUCCCGUGAGCUGGGAAUUGAACCCGUGCUUACUUAAUCUGGGUGAGGUCCUGGGUUCAAUUCCCAGCUGGGGCC